AGGUCCCAUAAGAGAGCAGACUCUCUUGAACCUGGUCCCAGCUGUGUGUCCUUCAAGAGCGACGAGUCGAUGGGUCGCCUCAUUGUUUUUAAACGACGACAAUCUUCUGCUACAAACAGAACAAAGCAGCAGUUCAGACCAGAGACGCCUGAAUCUGAACCUGGUCCCAGUUGUGUGUCCUUCAAGAGCGACAGGUCAAUGGGUCGAUAUUUUGAUUUUAAACAAGAACAUCCUUCUGCUGCAAAGAGGAGGAAAGCUGGAAAAUCAAACCCCACCUGAACCCAAAGCCAGCAGGGCGUCUAAGAAGAGAGGAUGGACUGAGAAGGAAGAUAAGAUAUCAAGGAAAAGGAGUCACUCUGUGGAUCGGAUAGUGGAGCAGCAGAGUUUAAAUGUUCCCAGUGAUCAGUCUGUUCAUCAGCAUCAAACACAGCUG